GAUGAACACUGGCGGCGUGCCUAAUACAUGCAAGUCGAGCGAACAGAUGAGAAGCUUGCUUCUCUGAUGUUAGCGGCGGACGGGUGAGUAACACGUGGGUAACCUACCUAUAAGACUGGGAUAACUCCGGGAAACCGGGGCUAAUACCGGAUAAUAUUUUGAACCGCAUGGUUCGAUAGUGAAAGACGGUUUCGGCUGUCACUUAUAGAUGGACCCGGGCCGUAUUAGCUAGUUGGUAAGGUAACGGCUUACCAAGGAGACGAUACGUAGCCGACCUGAGGGGGUGAUCGGCCACACUGGAACUGAGACACGGUCCAGACUCCUACGGGAGGCAGCAGUAGGGAAUCUUCCGCAAUGGGCGAAAGCCUGACGGAGCAACGCCGCGUGAGUGAUGAAGGUCUUCGGAUCGUAAAACUCUGUUGUUAGGGAAGAACAAAUUUGUUAGUAACUGAACAAGUCUUGACGGUACCUAACCAGAAAGCCACGGCUAACUACGUGCCAGCAGCCGCAGUAA
rnacentral:rRNA from 1 species